GGGAUUACAGUUGUGUACCACCACACCUGGCUAAUUUUUGUAUUUUUAGUAGAGACAGGUUUUCACUAUGUUGGCCAGGCUGGUCUCAAACCCCUGACCUCGGGUGAUGGCCACGCACCUUGGCCUCCCAAAGUUCUGGGAUUACAGGUGUGAGCCACUGUGCCUGACCCUGUAGUAUAUUUGUAUGUCGGUAUAUGAUCUCU
rnacentral:lncRNA from 1 species